AUUGAACGCUGGCGGCAGGCCUAACACAUGCAAGUCGAACGAGUGGCGGACGGGUGAGUAAUGUAUGGGAAACUGCCUGAUGGAGGGGGAUAACUACUGGAAACGGUAGCUAAUACCGCAUACCAGCAGAUGUGCCCAGAUGGGAUUCGCUAGUUGGUGGGGUAACGGCUCACCAAGGCCACGAUCCCUGGCUGGUCUGAGAGGAUGACCAGCCACACCUGAAUGGAGACACGGUACAGACUCCUACGGGAGGCAGCACUGGGGAAUAUUGCACAAUGGGCUCAAGCCUGAUACAGCCAUGCCGCGUGUAUUAAGAAGGCCUUCGGGUUGUAAAGUACUUUCAGCGGGGAGGCGUUACUCGCAGAAGAAGCACCGGCUAACUCCGUGCCAGCAGCCGCGGUAAUUC
rnacentral:rRNA from 1 species